rnacentral:rRNA from 1 species
GACGAACGCUGGCGGCGUGCUUAACACAUGCAAGUCGAACGGAAAGGCCCUGCUUUUGUGGGUUGCUCGAUUGGCGACCGGGUGAGUAACACGUGAGUACCCUGCCCUUGCCUUUGGGAUAACUUCAGGAAACUGGGGCUAAUACCGGAUAGGAGCUCCUGCUGCAGGGUGGGGGUUGGAAAGUUUCGGCGGUUGGGGAUGGACUCGCGGCUUAUCAGCUUGUUGGUGGGGUAGUGGCUUACCAAGGCUUUGACGGGUAGCCGGCCUGAGAGGGUGACCGGCCACAUUGGGACUGAGAUACGGCCCAGACUCCUACGGGAGGCAGCAGUGGGGAAUAUUGCACAAUGGGCGGAAGCCUGAUGCAGCAACGCCGCGUGCGGGAUGACGGCCUUCGGGUUGUAAACCGCUUUCGCCUGUGACGAAGCGUGAGUGACGGUAAUGGGUAAAGAAGCACCGGCUAACUACGUG